AAUAUGCCAUACGUGGUGUUCCUUCCCUGCUGGAAGUUGCUGGUUUCUCCUACUUCUACGGGGCCUUCUUGGUAGGGCCCCAGUUCUCAAUGAAUCACUACAUGAAGCUGGUACAGGGAGAGUUGACUGACAUACCAGGAAAGAUACCAAACAGCAUCAAUUCGACCAAGAAAUGAAGGAACAGAUUCAAAGUGGUUAUUUGUAUUAUCUUACCUCCACUGGGUUUUCAGUCCCAAUGGAAAUUGUGAAACCUGGCAAGACCUUGAGAUCAGUAGCAUCCCUGAGGGGUAAACACAAGACUGGUGCACUGUCUGCUGCCCUGACUUUCCCACAACUCUUAGAGGUUUGCAGUCCCCAUUCCUCAUAGCCAGCCAUAGAAAUCUUUCCCUGAAACAGGAAACACUUUGGGCAGCAGAGCUUCUCAUCCCAUUCCAGGUAGAUAACCACACCCCUAAACACUCCUCUCCAUAACUGAAGGUCAGAGGGUGAAGGGAAUAGUCUCUGCUCUCUGUGACCAGGAACUUCG
rnacentral:sRNA from 1 species